UCUCCUGGAAAAGGGUGGUAAUGCCGGAUGCUCCGACAUGACGCAUGUCGUGUCGGGAAAGAUUCUAUCGGUAUGGGAUGGGGUCGCGUCCUAUCAGCUUGAUGGCGGGGUAACGGCCCACCAUGGCUUCGACGGGUAGCCGGCCUGAGAGGGCGACCGGCCACAUUGGGACUGAGAUACGGCCCAGACUCCUACGGGAGGCAGCAGUGGGGAAUAUUGCACAAUGGGCGCAAGCCUGAUGCAGCGACGCCGCGUGCGGGAUGACGGCCUUCGGGUUGUAAACCGCUUUUGACUGGGAGCAAGCCCUUCGGGGUGAGUGUACCUUUCGAAUAAGCACCGGCUAACUACGUGCCAGCAGCCGCGGUAAUACGUAGGGUGCAAGCGUUAUCCGGAAUUAUUGGGCGUAAAGGGCUCGUAGGCGGUUCGUCGCGUCCGGUGUGAAAGUCCAUCGCUUAACGGUGGAUCCGCGCCGGGUACGGGCGGGCUUGAGUGCGGUAGGGGAGACUGGAAUUCCCGGUGUAACGGUGGAAUGUGUAGAUAUCGGAAAGAACACCA
rnacentral:rRNA from 1 species